rnacentral:lncRNA from 1 species
GCGGUGCGAGGGGAUGGUGGCCUGGGGAGAGCGUUUGCUGAAUUGGCUCAGAGAAACCUCCCCCACGCUGGGUGUUCGGGCUCUGAGCUCCCUCAGAGCUUGUGUGGUGGUGGCCGCCAAGCCAGGGCUGGUUCCUGGGAACAAAGAACAAAAGAGCCCUGUCUGAGGAGCCUCACAAGACUUCGCCGUCCUGGCUGGCACGAGAGCAAGCCUCCCGCUGUGUCUGUCUGCUCGGGAGGAGCAGCAGCCACAUAUCCGAGUGGAUGUCGUGUGAUUUGUGCCUUACGAUGUCUCCCUUUAUCCUCGGUGAGGACCUGUGGCCUCGUGGGUCCCCUUUUGGAUUGGGGUUGCUGUCCUGUGUCCCCAUGCUUCAGUGCUGGGCUUCGAGUUGGAUGGGACCGCCUGUGGCCGGGGAGCCCUCAGCCAUAUUACUCAUGUGCUGUGUUGUUUUCCCUCCUGACCCUGCCUCUGGAGCUGCUCUGGGCUCCUCACUGGAACAGAUCAAGCUCCCAGCAGGGAACAAUCAAUUUUCCCCCUUCAUCCUGCCUGCCUCUGCCAUUACUUGAGGAGCUCGAGCCCUCCAGGAGGGGACGGGAGAGCUGGGCCAUCGCUCAGCCAGUGCGUGGCCACCAGCAGCACAAUUCCUCGUGUGCUGGGACCCGAUGGAUGGAGCAGCAUCUUCACCCGUGCUGGGGCUGGCCCUGCGUGUCUUCUCCAUUCCCUGUGGAAAACCAGGGUGCCUGGACCUGCUGCCUCCCUGCGUGGAGCUGCUGUGUCUACAGGAGAAGAUUUGGGCUCCCUGCACCUCUUUGGGCUUCAGGAGCGAAGGAUGUGGGUGGCCUUCCAGCAGACGGUGGCAUUACCUGCUGUGCUGGAUCCAACAUCCUUCCUCUGGGCGUGGAGCUGAGCAAAGCCUUGUGGAGAGCUGCAGGAGCCCAACCACCGCUCUCACGUGUGGGUAGGUGGGCUCGGCACUUGGCCAUUUCUGCACAGCAGCAGGAGGAUGUUGGAAAGGGGACGCCGCUUGUUGAACGGCCCCUUCUGUCCCCUCACUGCCCAUGGGAUGUCACUUCUGCGUGCCCAGCUCCUCGGACUCGCUGUGAUGUGAGAGCAGCACUGGCUUUCCGCCGUCCCUUCCAUCCCAGACAACCCAACUCCCAAGUUUUGGCACCUUCUCUCGCUUCCCUCGUGGUUUUAUCCCAGCGCCAGGGGCUUGCGUUGCGCUCAUCGAUGCUCGAGCGUGUCCCGCACGGCCCGCGUGAUGCACGGGCCAGAAGGAGCCCAGCUCGGCAACCCCACACAAAGGGGAAUUGUGUAACACGAGAAGAUUAG